UUAUGCUAUGCAUCUUCAGUCUGUUGGAUUUCUUCAACAGAGCAGUUCAUUUGCUGUUUCACAGAUGGGAAUCAGUUUGUUUAUACUUAGGUUUUACAUGAGCUCAUACUAGAGAUUGUGAACAAGUUUGUUUGGAUUUGAAGACUUCCAAAAACUGGAUGUGACAUGAAAGAGGUCUUCCUUGCAAUAGGAAGAAAAUGAUUUGGUGUUUUCAUAGACUUUGCACUGUUAGGAUUAUUUUCAUGGUGAAAAAACCCCCUCAUACUCUGAAAUUGAUUCACCAGUGUCAGACCUUCCCAUCCUACUGAUGUGUUUUAUUCUGUGGAGCUGCUGGGCUUCAUCCAUGCUGGUUUAAAGCUUAGCUUUGAUUUUUCGGUUCCUCUGUGUUCUAAAGUAUAAUAAUUGUGUGUGUGUGUGUGUGCGUGCACGUGUGUUUUGGGAGUGUUGUCAGGUUCUUAGUUGGAAGAGUUGACUUCAUACUAUAGAAAAGUUACUGAACUAUGUACUGAAGUGGAUAUAUGUAAGAAUACAUAUAUAUACACACACACAAGAGCGUGUGGAGGUGUGAAAAUUUAAGACCUGUGAUAGUGUUGGUGAAUAGUUGCAGGUGGCACACAUGCUCAUAUUUGUGUUGUCUGUCCAGAGAAAAUUACCAUGUUAACAGCACUUGAUUUGCAUUGCGAAGGGAAUUAGUUGGCUUACCCCUGAUGGGAACCUGAGGAUAAGCUGAUAUGUGUGAGCUACAGAUGUUUUGGGACCAGGACCCAGGAGCAAAACAGGAUCAACAGUGCAGAUACUUGCAGUUGUCAGACUUCCUGUAAGAUACUUCAUAAUUAUUUGAAUGCCUUAUUGAUAAUGCACCAGGACAAGUGGUGAUUACUAAGGAAGUGUAGAGGCUCAAAACUGAAAUACACUUACUUGAAUUUGCUAACCAAAGUACAGAAUUUACAUCACUACCUUGAGAAGCUGGAGGGUUACAAGACUGCCAGCAAACAAUAUUCAGUCAACAGGUAUUGAAUUUUUCAAUGCAUAUACUAAAUUUCAUCUUGAUCAUGCCUUUAUCCAUAUUACUAUUUGGAAAUCUGCACUAUGUAACCAAGUUCACAUGUUCACUGUUGGUAUUUGGGCAGCUUCAAAUCAAAAGGUUUAUGUAGAGUAGGUUGUGUCUCAGUCCUUGUGUGUGUAUGCAUAAACAAUGGGAAAGGGCUAGACAAGGCAUUUUUGGAAGGAUCUUGUCUCUUGGUGCGGCUUUUUGACUGUGGGCAGUGUAAAUAUCCUUUUGUCUUGGAGAUCGAGAUAUGAGAGAGAUGAGAAUCAGGAUAGGAAGAAGGAGAGUUGGAUCAGAAAUACCCUGUAGAGAAGUUGGGAUUCUUCAUGGAUUCUGUAUGGGCAAUUAAGUGAUUCUGGUGUUUUGAAAACUUUUCUUUUUAUUUGUAUAGCAACAAAUAGUUCAGGAAAAAUUAGCUUUGUUUUCCUUAAAAAAAAAAAGCAACACCAAAAAAUAACCACAAGGAGCUUAAGCUUUUGAAGAUUGAAAAUUAACUCAGCUUUUCUUUACAGUUUGUAUAUUGCCAUGUACAUUACUUUUAAAGAGAUAGCCCUUCAAACAUACAGAGUUUUUAGUAUUACUGCAGUGAUCAAACAAAAUGACAGCAAGUGCAUCAGCUGAAGAGUAGGAUCAGUGUGUUUGUGUGUGUGUUUGUGUGUGUGAAGUGUUUAAAUCUAGGAACCCUUUGUAUGUCAACAGUAAAGUUGCCUCUUAAAUUUUGAGGGGAAAAAAUCUUUCAAGUAGAAAAUGUCUAUUUUGAAAGCAUGUUUUGCAACAAGCUCUUUUCUUUAGCAUUCAUCCUCUUUAGAAAUAGAAGUUCUAUUGUGAACUUUGAGGUAUUCAAUGAUGGAUGAGGGUUACUAGCAGUUGUGAUUACUUGUGGGUGGUUGACAGACUUAUUACUAUGGGGAUGCUGCAGCAGAAGCCAGCAGGGAAACUAUCUGUGUAUCUUCAGGUUAUAUGGUAGGUUAAUAGGCUGCGUGGCACACUUACACUCUGUGUAUUCAGUGAGGCUUUUGUCUUGUGUGCAAGCAGUCUUUAUACGCUAAAGAUGAUGAUCUUGUUAAUUUUAUUUAAAUAUUGGAGCAUUAAAACAUGGGCACAUCUGCUGCAUCGAUGUGAAAGUAUGUACAAAAAUAAGGUAUGUUAGAGCAUUGUCCUGUAAAGAAGUGUAAAAAUCAUUAUCGCAACUCUUGUGUCUUGCUUGAUUCAAGCAUAGUCAAAGUGGGAGACGAAGGCUCUAGCACCUAGAGAGCUUUGUGCUUUGUAGGUGUGGUGGGUUAACCUUGGCUGGCCUCCAGCUGCCUAGCCAGUUGGUCUGUCACUACCCCCCUCCUCAAGAACACAAGGAGAGAAAAUAAGAUGAAAAAAGCUCAUGGGUUGAGGUUAAAACAGGGAGAUCACUUACCGAUUAACAUCACAGGCAAAACAGACUCAACUUGGGGAGGAGUAAUUUAAUUUAUUGCCAGUUAACAACAGAGUAGCAUAGUGAGAAAUAAAUUAAAAAACCAGAAUUAAAACCACCUUCUCAUCACACACCCUUCUUCACAAGCUCAACUUCACUCCCAACACUUUUUUCUCCUUCCCCCAAGUUGCACAGGAGGAUGGGGAAUGGAGGUUGCAGUCAGCUCAUAAUGCUUCAUCUCUGCUGCUCUUUCUUCCUCAUGCUGUUCCCUUGCUCCAGUGUGGGGUCCCUCCCAGGAGCUGCAGCUCUUCAAGAACUGCUCCAGCAUGGGUCCUACCCACGGGGUACAGUCCUUCAGGAACAGACUGCUCCAGCAUGGAUUCUUCAUGAGGUAACAGGUCCUGCCAGAAAACCUGCGCCAUAGAGACUAUGGCCUGCACCUCCUGCCACGAGCCUGAUCCGUGUGGGCUUUCCACAGGCUGCAGCUUCCUUCAGGGCAUAUCCACCUGCUCUGGCAUGGGGUCCUCCAUGGGCUGCAGGGUGCGUGUCUGUUCCACUGUGGUCCUCCAUGGGCUGCAGGAGGGCAGCCUGCAUCACCGUUGUCUUUUAGGGAAUAUUUGCUCUGAGGUGUCGGCAUUGCUGAUGGACUCAGCUUUGGCCAGCGGCUGGUCCAUCAUGGAACUGGCUGGAACUGUCUCUGUCCAACAUUAGGAGCAGCUUCUAGUGUCUACUUAAAGAAGCCACCCCUGUAGCUCCCCCACUACCAAAGCCUUGCCACAUAAACCCAAUAUGGUAGGAAAAUAAGAUGUUGUGUAUAUCUCCUGUGAUGGGGAACAGAUAAAACACUUCAGAGGAAGGCAAAAGUCUCAUAUAGUUGGCAGUGUGAUUUAUAGGGAUAAUGUUAUCCUUCUUGGCAAAUUGUGUUACUAAUAUGCGUAAGAUGACUGUCUUAGAACAAGUGACAACAAGGGAAGGUAGCUUUAGUUAUAACAUGAUAUAGCAGCAGUAGAGAGAGUAUCUUCUGAUUUCUGUGCUAUUGCAGCCUUUCAGGAGGUACCAGAUAUGGAGGAGGACCAGGCAUUUUAGCACCUAUUUACAUUAAAUAACGUUUUUUGAGUCUUAGGGCAAACUGAUUACUAAUUGUGAAUUAAAAAAGCAGUGAAAUGGGAGCAAUCUUUAGCAAGAGUGGAUUAUCAAUACCAUAUUUGACCACAGAUCAAGGUGUUUUUAACAUGCGGGCAGUUUGGAAGAUUAGUUAAUGACUUAAAACUGAGUUUUGUGAUAUUUUUAGAGUCGUAGUUUUUGAGUUAAAACAGGUAUGCUUCUUGCUUAGGGCACUCUAUCAGUUUAUCCCGAAGCAGUAGUUUAUCGACAUUUGCUGUUUUGAGUGACAUGGCAAGAAUAGCGGGAGAACCACAGGGUUGGGACAAGUGUUUUAGUGCUUCAUUCCCCACAGCUGGCACCAAAGCUAUAUAUGAAGGUCCUAUCAAUUAUUAAUUGUGGCUGUUUUGUCAUUACAAAAAAAGUCUUCAUUCAGCUUUUGAGAGCUAUUAAGCUGCUGUCUGGGAAGUCACAAUGAUGAAAAGUCAUUGUGAUUUUUGUCACGAAUAUAAAGGUCCGAAUACAAGCACACCUACAUGUCAGCCAGUCCCUGUCUUUUUCUCUCCUGUUACCUACCUCAGUGUUGAUAUUUAUGGGCUCCUUUCACUUUGAGCCAGCCCUGCUGUAGCAUGCAGCUACACAGCUAAAUGGGAUUAGGGAUCUCUGUCCUGGUAUGUUCAAACACGCAUGCUGUCUGGAGAACUGUUGGCAAGAGGAGAGCAGCAACAGUCGCCUCAACGAUUGCCAGAGUGACUCAGAAAAUCAGGACCUAAA